UACAGAGGUCUCAAGCGUUGUUCGGAUUCAUUGGGCGUAAAGGGUGUGUAGGUGGCGCCGUAAGUCGGGUGUGAAAUUUCGGAGCUUAACUCCGAAACUGCGUUCGAUACUGCGGUGCUUGAGGACUGGAGAGGAGACUGGAAUUCAUGGUGUAGCAGUGAAAUGCGUAGAGAUCAUGAGGAAGACCAGUGGCGAAGGCGGAUCUCUGGACAGCUCCUGACGCUGAGGCGCGAAGGCUAGGGGAGCAAACGGG
rnacentral:rRNA from 1 species